AGUGAACGCUGGCGGUAGGCCUAACACAUGCAAGUCGAACGGCAGCACAGUAAGAGCUUGCUCUUACGGGUGGCGAGUGGCGGACGGGUGAGGAAUACAUCGGAAUCUACUUUUUCGUGGGGGAUAACGUAGGGAAACUUACGCUAAUACCGCAUACGACCUACGGGUGAAAGCAGGGGAUCUUCGGACCUUGCGCGAUUGAAUGAGCCGAUGUCGGAUUAGCUAGUUGGCGGGGUAAAGGCCCACCAAGGCGACGAUCCGUAGCUGGUCUGAGAGGAUGAUCAGCCACACUGGAACUGAGACACGGUCCAGACUCCUACGGGAGGCAGCAGUGGGGAACAUUGGACAAUGGGCGAAAGCCUGAUCCAGCCAUACCGCGUGGGUGAAGAAGGCCUUCGGGUUGUAAAGCCCUUUUGUUGGGAAAGAAAAGCAGCAGGUUAAUACCCCGCUGUUCUGACGGUACCCAAAGAAUAAGCACCGGCUAACUUCGUG
rnacentral:rRNA from 1 species